UUUGGUGCCAGCAGCCGCGGUAAUUCCAGCUCCAAUAGCGUAUAUUAAAGUUGUUGCAGUUAAAAAGCUCGUAGUUGAAUUUCGGGAUCUUUAGGUUGGUCGUGCCACUGGUAUGUACUGGCCUUGGUGGUUCCUCCUUUCUUGUAGAACCGUAAUGCC
rnacentral:rRNA from 1 species